CUAGGCACAGUGCAACCGGAAAAUUCAGGUAGAGGAAUCAGAAUCAGAAUUCUUUAAGGAGUAGGAGAGUAAGGAGUCGUGGCUGAUGAGGGCUCCUCUCCUUCCUCAUGUCCACUAUCAUCUCCCUGGUCUUGCCCGUGUUGGGGAUGAGGUUGUUGUUCUCACAGCAUGUCACACUACAUCACCCAUAUACAGAGCUGUGGCAUAUUUCAACCUGGAGUAUUGUGAUCAUAAAGUCAAGUCCAACCCAGGUGCUGGGUCAAAGGCUACACACAGCCCAGACACUGGGUCAUACUACGUUUAACCGGUUACAACUGGCCACGACCGGUCUUUUCCCUGGGAUGAUCACAGAGGACAGACUACCUUCCUAAAGACUGAGAUUGCUCCGGACUUCCAGACUCUCUAUGCAGAGGCUUCACCGAAGCUCUUUGACACAUGGAACGUCACCAUUGCUGAGAAAGUCCUUCGCCUAGCAAGACAAGAGGAGAAAUUACAAUGUGCCAGAGACUCACUGCCACAAGAUGUCAAGGGAUACAAGGCCUUGAGGCUGCUACCCAACCUUUUGCCCCCACAAGCCUUCAAAAUGGGCAAAAAAAUGAUGCAGCCCACUGUCUCUGAAGCCUUGAAGGCCUUUAUUGACCUUCAACCUGU